UGAAUAUAUAUAUAUAUAUAUAUCUCCAAGACCAGUAGCCAUUUACAUAUUCCCGACCCAGAACUCUCAUCCAGAGGCAGGAGUCUACUGGGUUCUCAGCUUCCUCCCUUUCAUCCAGGCUUUUCUAUUCACUGUGAACUCACUGUCCAUUAGGAGCUCUUUUUUAGGCACUUGAGAGAUGUUGAACUCUGUAGGGAUCUUCUCAGAAAAGGUGAUUGUAUUUUGCCUUGUUUCAAAGGCUUGCCUCCCUCUCUGUAUGCCCUAACACAGCCACAACCCAUUUCAUUCAAACCAUCAAAUACUAAACUCUCACAACUCUUCUUUUUCUAAUACACUGAGGACAUAAGAGGCUUAUUGGCAUAGUGCAUGGAAAAUUUGGCAUGUGGAUGUGUUCAAAUUCCGUACUAAAGUCAUCUUGUAGGAUUAAAGGACAUGAAGAAGAAAAUUAAUGCAAUUUAUUGAUGUUUAGGUUUGAAAUUUCAUAUGUAAGUACCUAAGAUGGCCAUGUGAAUGUCUUUUCAUGUGGGCGUGUGGAAUAGGGGUACAUGAACCCGAAAUGUGUCAGAAUUCUCUGGUAUGUGUUAUCUGAGAUAUGUACUCAUUACAUCAAUGUGGAAAAUGGCAUAGUCUUAGGUAUUAUGAAUAUAUCCUAAAUAUGUUCUAGUUCCCAUCAGGGGAAUAUUAUUGUUGGUAAAUGGGUGCUUUGAAUGGUAUGCUUUUUUGUGAGUAUGUAUAUGGUGUGUAUAUUUGUGUUUGAGUUGUGUGUUUAAAUGUGUGCUUGUGUUCUCUCUUAGGAUGGACAUGUUACAUAUAAGAGGUUGUGGGUCUGUAAAGGAAAGAAAACCUUGUCAUCCAUGGAUAUUUGGGUUUUGUUACCACCAUGAAGAUUCUCAUGCUAAUUAUGAGGAGCUUACCGGGUGUUUUAGCAUGCUCAUCAGUAGGAAUGUGCUUGCUUUCUGAGAAGAUAUAUUUGGAAUCUUCUUCAGAUGUUGAAGUUUCUCCUCCUACCUGAAUCCAGUUCAUCCUACAUGGGGCAGGAGCAACCUGUUGGAAUAUCUGGAACCCUGAAAAUGUAGCAAUAUCAACAAUCAUUGAGAUAUAGCACAAUAUGUGCUCUAUAUCAUUCCAAAACAGAUAUGUUUUGUGACUAUUUUAUUUCAGGCAUUACUACGCUUGGAACUUCCUCUCUCUCUCUAAUUACAAUGACUUUCCCAUUCAAAAUUUCAAAGUAAAGGAUGGACAUGUUACAUAUAAGAGGUUGUGGGUCUGUAAAGGAAAGAAAACCUUGUCAUCCAUGGAUAUUUGGGUUUUGUUACCACCAUGAAGAUUCUCAUGCUAAUUAUGAGGAGCUUACCGGGUGUUUUAGCAUGCUCAUCAGUAGGAAUGUGCUUGCUUUCUGAGAAGAUAUAUUUGGAAUCUUCUUCAGAUGUUGAAGUUUCUCCUCCUACCUGAAUCCAGUUCAUCCUACAUGGGGCAGGAGCAACCUGUUGGAAUAUCUGGAACCCUGAAAAUGUAGCAAUAUCAACAAUCAUUGAGAUAUAGCACAAUAUGUGCUCUAUAUCAUUCCAAAACAGAUAUGUUUUGUGACUAUUUUAUUUCAGGCAUUACUACGCUUGGAACUUCCUCUCUCUCUCUAAUUACAAUGACUUUCCCAUUCAAAAUUUCAAAGUAAAGGUAAACAACAAUUAUUGUAAUCAUGGAUGAAGUAGAUUUUCUGUGAUAGAAUAUCUUGAAUGUUAUAUUUUAAGAAAUGUACAUAGAUUAUUGGAAACUGAAUCAUAACUAAAAUGUGAUGUUCAAUCACUAAAGGAUGGAUAUUAAUGUUAGUUGAAUUUCUCCAUGAGAAAUUGUGCAAAUAAAAUAUUUGUAGAAUGCUUA